rnacentral:lncRNA from 1 species
CCCUAUGUUUAGUAAGAUUAAAUUGCUACUAUUAAUGAUGAAUGCUUGAGUUUUGAAAUUUGAAGCAUCGCCUACUUUCUGGUCCUGUAGUGUUUAAAACUAAUAAUUAUGAUGCAUUGGUCUAUAUGGCCUUGGCUUUUAAUGCCAUACACAUUCUAGUGCCAGAUCCAGGACCUGAUCUUAGCAUUCAAGCAUACCUGACAAUGGUCUGAUCCUAGCUAUAAAAUGUAGGGGACAACAAUUUGCAGCAUUAAUUAAGUCCUGCUAUAGUCUUUUUUAAACUUCUUAUGAGAUUGAAGCAUUCGUUCUGAUUUCUGGUUUGCUGGUUUGCUGAUUGUUGUAGACAAAUGUAUGAAACUUCUUAGCUGUGGACGACAACUACUUCCUUAAGAAGGACCAGCAUCACGCAUCAAGUAUGCCAUUGAGGUAAUUCACCACUCCCUCCAGCACCAACUAUGUAUUUUCUCUAGUUGCUCUCCCAAGUUUUGUGCACACUGUGCGUCAAGUUCUCCCUAAAUGCAAGGUAUUGUAUAUGUAAAACCAAUUAUCCAAUACAUUUUUCACAAAGAGAUUAGUCUUCUUAUUUAGCCCAGAUGUUUUAAUUUAUGGAGUUGUUGCUUAUUUGGUCAGAUUUAUUUCCUUAUUGUAGGCAUAAGAAUAAGCUGAUAUGAACAUAAUAAUGAUACUCUGCAUGCUAUGAGUAAAGUGCUAUCUGGGGAACAAAAAUCAUUGUAUUAGCAGAAAUUGUGUUAUCAUUCUAAAGAACUUGUCCUUUUUUUGAAUGGCCUGUUCAUAAUAUAUUGGCUCCAGUGUUUUGAUUCUUCUCUUCUGAUUCAUGUAACAGGGUGACGGCCGAAGGCAUGAUGAUAGUUCUAUUGCUGUUCUAGUGUAGCGAAGGUGGCCUAGUCGACUAUGGUCGCCUAGUGAGUCGUGCAUACGGUUUCAUCUGACUGUAAACUUGAUGUAAACUGCUCUAAUUGUGGAGCUUGUUAUCUGAUUGUAAACUUGAUGCUGAUCACAUUUGUAUGUGUGUUAUAUGAUGUAGCACUUUGAUGGUUGAUAAUAUUUGAAGUAUUUCGUGUGUUUUCUGUGUGCCAAUUUAAAUACUAGGUAUUUAUUUGCGUUAAAUUAAAAAAAUUGAAGAAUAUUGCCCUGACGGCUAGGACCCAUUACUAGAACAUGACAAUGGGGACUCACCUGACUAGUGAACCCACUUUAUCACAAAAGAAAAAAAA